GUGUAGUUGUAAAAAAUCAUCAAAAUUGGAGUUAAAAUAACCAUUAAAUCGUGAUUUUUUGUUGAUAACCCUCGAAAAGUUUUGUCCCGUUACUUAAUCUCUAAAUAUUUGUUUUUUGCGAUUUUUGGCUUAUGCGAUCUUGAAGCAUAUACAAACAAGUUUGAUAGUUGGAUCGUUGAAAUUAGUUUCGUAGAAUGUGUAUCUCAUCAAAACGAUAGAUUCACUAACACUUAAGAGUUUAUUCAUACUUUCAAUAAGUAUAACAUAAGAUUUUGUGGUAUCCACUACUGUAAAUAUUUUUCGUUGAUAACCAUCGAAACGUUUUGUCCCGUUACUUGAUCUCUAAAUGUUUGUUUUUUGCAAUUUUGGCGUAUGCGAUCUUGAAGCAUAUACAAAUAAGUUUGACGAUUAGAUCAUUGAAAUUAGUUUCGUAGAAUGCGUAUCUCAUCAAAAUGAUAGAUUCACUAACACUUAGAGUUUAUUUAUACUUUCAUUAAGUAAAACAUAAGAUUUUGUGGCAUCCACUAGUGUAAAUAUUUUAAAUUGAAGAUCGAAUUCAUAUAGGGUCAAGGAGUGUAACUAUAAAAAAUCAUCAAAAUCAGAGUUAAAAUAACUGUUAAAUCUUGAUUUUUCAUUUAUAACAGUCAAAAAGUUUUGUCCCAUUACUUGAUAUAUGAAUGCUUGUUUUUUGCAAUUUUUGGCGUAUGCAAUCUCGAAAUAUAUACAAACAUGUUUGAUAGUUGAAACUAGUUUCAUAGAAUGCAUAUCCCAUCAAAACAAUAGAUUCACUAACACUUACGAGUUUAUUCAUACUUUCAUUAAGUAUAACAUAAGAUUUUGU
rnacentral:lncRNA from 1 species